rnacentral:sRNA from 1 species
CGGCCGCCGCCGGCCGGGCCCCAAGCCCCCGAGGGCGCCAGGGCGGGAUCGCGACCGGUGCAACUUCUAGCCUUGUUGUCCUCCUGGUGUGAAGAGCUCGGCCGCCUGCUGCUGCUCCGACAUCAGAAGAGCCGCCAGAGCGAUCCCCCUGGGAAACUCCCCAUGCAGCCCCCCCUCAGCUCCAUGAGCUCCAUGAAACCCACUCUGUCGCACAGUGAUGGGUCGUUCCCCUAUGACUCUGUCCCUUGGCAGCAGAACACCAACCAGCCUCCCGGCUCCCUUUCCGUGGUCACCACGGUUUGGGGAGUAACCAACACAUCCCAGAGCCAGGUCCUUGGGAACCCUAUGGCCAAUGCCAACAACCCCAUGAAUCCAGGCGGCAACCCCAUGGCGUCGGGCAUGACCACCAGCAACCCAGGCCUCAACUCCCCACAGUUUGCGGGGCAGCAGCAGCAGU